AAAAAAGGGGGGGGUCUAUACAUGCAAGUCGAACGCUUCUUUUUCCACCGGAGCUUGCUCCACCGGAAAAAGAGGAGUGGCGAACGGGUGAGUAACACGUGGGUAACCUGCCCAUCAGAAGGGGAUAACACUUGGAAACAGGUGCUAAUACCGUAUAACAAUCGAAACCGCAUGGUUUCGAUUUGAAAGGCGCUUUCGGGUGUCGCUGAUGGAUGGACCCGCGGUGCAUUAGCUAGUUGGUGAGGUAACGGCUCACCAAGGCGACGAUGCAUAGCCGACCUGAGAGGGUGAUCGGCCACAUUGGGACUGAGACACGGCCCAAACUCCUACGGGAGGCAGCAGUAGGGAAUCUUCGGCAAUGGACGAAAGUCUGACCGAGCAACGCCGCGUGAGUGAAGAAGGUUUUCGGAUCGUAAAACUCUGUUGUUAGAGAAGAACAAGGAUGAGAGUAACUGUUCAUCCCUUGACGGUAUCUAACCAGAAAGCCACGGCUAACUACGUGCCAGCAGCCGCGGUAAUACGUAGGUGGCAAGCGUUGUCCGGAUUUAUUGGGCGUAAAGCGAGCGCAGGCGGUUUCUUAAGUCUGAUGUGAAAGCCCCCGGCUCAACCGGGGAGGGUCAUUGCAAACUGGGGAAACUU
rnacentral:rRNA from 1 species